CAAUAGCGUAUAUUUAAGUUGCUGCAGUUAAAAAGCUCGUAGUUGGAUUUCGGGUGGGAAUGGCCGGUCCGCCGUUUCGGUGUGCACUUGCUACGCCCACCUUGCUGCCGGGGACGUGCUCUUGAGCUCACGCUCGGGACACGGAGUCGGCGAGGUUACUUUGAGUAAAUUAGAGUGUUCAAAGCAGGCCUACGCUCUGAAUACAUUAGCAUGGAAUAACACGAUAGGACUCUGGCCUAUCUUGUUGGUCUGUAGGACCGGAGUAAUGAUUAAGAGGGACAGUCGGGGGCAUUCGUAUUUCAUUGUCAGAGGUGAAAUUCUUGGAUUUAUGAAAGACGAACUACUGCGAAAGCAUUUGCCAAGGAUGUUUUCAUUAA
rnacentral:rRNA from 1 species